UUCCGGUUGAUCCUGCCGGACCCGACUGCUAUCAGAGUAGGACUAAGCCAUGCGAGUCAACGCUGCAAGGCGUGGCGUACGGCUCAGUAACACGUAGUCAACAUGCCCAAAGGACGCGGAUAACCUCGGGAAACUGAGGAUAAACCGCGAUAGGCCAGGGUUUCUGGAAUGAGCCACGGCCAAAAUCUAUAUGGCCUUUGGAUUGGACUGCGGCCGAUCAGGCUGUUGGUGAGGUAAUGGCCCACCAAACCUGUUACCGGUACGGGCUUUGAGAGAAGGAGCCCGGAGAUGGGCACUGAGACAAGGGCCCAGGCCCUAUGGGGCGCAGCAGGCGCGAAACCUCUGCAAUAGGCGAAAGCCUGACAGGGUUACUCUGAGUGAUGCCCGCUAAGGGUAUCUUUUGGCACCUCUAAAAAUGGUGCAGAAUAAGGGGUGGGCAAGUCUGGUGUCAUCCGCCGCGGUAAUACCAGCACCCCGAGUUGUCGGGACGAUUAUUGGGCCUAAAGCGUCCGUAGCCUGUUCUGCAAGUCCUCCGUUAAAUCCACCUGCUUAACGGAUGGGCUGCGGGGGAUACCGCAGAGCUAGGAGGCGGGAGAGGCAAACGGUACUCAGUGGGUAGGGGUAAAAUCCAUUGAUCUACUGAAGACCACCAGUGGCGAAGGCGGUUUGCCAGAACGCGCUCGACGGUGAGGGAUGAAAGCUGGGGGAGCAACCGGAUUAGAUACCCGGGUAGUCCCAG
rnacentral:rRNA from 1 species